rnacentral:rRNA from 1 species
UAAUACAGAAUCCCCGAGCGUUAUCCGGAUUUAUUGGGCGUAAAGGGUCCGUAGGCGGCUUAAUAAGUCUAGCGUUAAAUACCUUGAGCUCAACUUAAGGAAGGCGUUAGAAACUGUUAGGCUGGAGGGCGCUAGAGGCUGAUGGAACACUCGGUGUAGGGGUGGAAUCCGUUGAUAUCGAGUGGAACACCAAAAGCGAAGGCAUUCAGCUGGGGCGACCCUGACGCUGAGGGACGAAAGCGUGGGUAGCAAAAAGGAUUAGAUACCCUUGUAGUCCACGCCCUAAACGAUGGACACUGGCUAUCUGUAGUGUCGACCCUACAGGUGGCGAAGCUAACGCGUUAAGUGUCCCGCCUGGGAAUUACGGUCGCAAGACUA